GAUGAACGCUGGCGGCGUGCCUAACACAUGCAAGUCGAGCGAUUCUCUUCGGAGAAGAGCGGCGGACGGGUGAGUAACGCGUGGGUAACCUGCCCUGUACACACGGAUAACAUACCGAAAGGUAUGCUAAUACGAGAUAAUAUGCUUUUAUCGCAUGGUAGAAGUAUCAAAGCUCCGGCGGUACAGGAUGGACCCGCGUCUGAUUAGCUAGUUGGUAAGGUAGCGGCUUACCAAGGCGACGAUCAGUAGCCGACCUGAGAGGGUGAUCGGCCACAUUGGAACUGAGACACGGUCCAAACUCCUACGGGAGGCAGCAGUGGGGAAUAUUGCACAAUGGGCGAAAGCCUGAUGCGGCAACGCCGCGUGAGCGAUGAAGGCCUU
rnacentral:rRNA from 1 species